GGGAAGGUGGCUCAGUGGUAGAGUGCUUGCCUUGCAUGCAUGAGGCCUUGGGUUCAAAUCCUCAGCACCCA
rfam:Dipodomys ordii contig_64815, whole genome shotgun sequence.